UACGGGGGGGGCAAGCGUUGUUCGGAAUUACUGGGCGUAAAGGGCUCGUAGGCGGCCAACUAAGUCAGACGUGAAAUCCCUCGGCUUAACCGGGGAACUGCGUCUGAUACUGGAUGGCUAGUGUUUGGGAGAGGGAUGCGGAAUUCCAGGUGUAGCGGUGAAAUGCGUAGAUAUCUGGAGGAACACCGGUGGCGAAGGCGGCAUCCUGGACCAACACUGACGCUGAGGAGCGAAAGCCAGGGGAGCAAACAGG
rnacentral:rRNA from 1 species